ensembl:lncRNA
CAUUUGUUUAAAGCAAUGAAGCCUUCAAUAAGUUGUGUUGAUGGAUAGUACAUACUCCCACUUGAUAUUCUUUCCACAGGAAGCUCAUUUUUAGGGCAUCUGGACCAGGUACAGCAGUGCCUGUACCUGGCCCAGUGUAGGCACCGGCCUGUGGUGCAGCCCCCCUCGGAGACCACAGAGAAGUACGAGCAGCUGGCUGAACUCCUAGAGGCAUGUCUCCAAAUGGACUCUGCCAACAGGUCCAGCUGCUCUGAGCUGCUCGGCCAGGAUUAUUUCACCUGGGAGCAUUUCCCUGACAGGUUCACCAAAGAGAUGGAGCUCAUGGUCCAGAGGGACUGUGAAUGCUGCGUGCCUCCUCAGACUGCAGCAGGCUGUGAAUGUGGUGGAGAUGGGGACUCCCUCCAGUCAGCUCUAGGAUGGGAGCCAUGCGAUGAAUAACCUGGAGGGGGCCCAGCAUAAGCCUCCUCAGACCAGAGGGAAUGAGGAGCCAUCUAAGGAGGUGGAGGUGGAGGUGAAGAAGAAGAGGCUUCACAGCAUCUAUCAAAGAGCUGUCAAGGCCAUCACCCACGUCUCCCCAAUGCAAGACUAGUGGGAGACAGGAGAUCCUGUACCAGUGUAGUGUAGAUAUUGUUAAAAGUAGAUAGCAUAAAGAAAGUGUAAAUAAUAGUUUACUUCGUCCGUAGCAUCAAUAAACAUUCAGAAUAACAUUUCACAGCAUGUUAAAUUCUGGAAC